CCCCCCCCCCGCCCCGGGAGACCCUGCAGGCCCAGCGGGCACUCACCCCACCCAGCCUCACUGUCCCUGUCCCUCUGCCCUGACGCCCUUCCAGGCCCCAAGUCCUUCUGCAAUGCUUCUGGUCGCACUCCUGGGGUGGCCACAGCGGCCUCUCUCUGGCGCCCGCUGACGUCAGGGGGGCCCCUCCGCGGGCUGUGGGCUCCCGGAAGACCCGCCUGGUCUCCAGAAGCUUCGCAAGGUGGUGCACAGGGCAGGGGCUCUGUAAGCACCUGGGCCUGGCAUCCUGGGCCCCCUCCCCACCAUUCCACCCCCCCCCACACACACACUGGGCGUUACCAGACUGCUGAGACCUGAGGCUGGCUAGGGGCCCUGCAGAGGAAACCAAAUUGCUUCCUGUCAGGCGGCCUGUGUGCCCAGCCCGCCCUCCUCAUGGGGACGGGGGCAGAGCGGUUCCCAGCCCUCCCCUGGUGCCCACAGGCUGGCAGGCUCUCUGGAAGCGCCAUCACUGCCAACGUUUGGGGCCAGGCAUCGGCAGACACAGCAGAGAUCACGCCUUCCAGUCUCCCCUGCAGCCAGGCGUGGCCACAGCACCGCAUUCCCCAGGACGCAGGGCUGGAAGGACUGGGCCGGAAGUCUGGGACGCCUCCUUACAGGCGGGGGGCUCCACCAUCCUCCAGGGUCCUCCUUCCUGAUGCAUGAAAUACAGCUGUGAAGGCCGGAGCUCAAGCAGCCACCUUUGACCACGAGAUCAGACACCAGCUUCCCAAGGCUGUGGACGCUUCCGUGUCAGCUCCAAGAGAGAAAACCCCUGUGUGUUGAGCGUGUUUAUCCGUGCGGGUGGGGGCAGCCUGUCCUGGGCUGAAGGAGGGUUUAUGGUUCACGCUCAGCGUGUGGCCCGGUGGCAACGAGGGUUUCAAAAUCACUGAGCUCUUGAGAUGGCCCCUCUCGGAAGCCCCGUUGCUCCCCCGCCUCCUCCCUCUCAGGGCCACUCUCUUCCGAGCCGCGUCUGGGGGAACUCCUGUCCUUUUAGGAGGAAGCCCCCGCAGCCCCCUGCCUUCCCCUCCUCCGUCACGACCGCCGAAGGCGGCAGAGCCACGGGAGGGUGGGGAGACGCGAGGAGUCAGGGAGGCUGGAAGGACCAUUCGGAGCAGCAGAAACUGACCAUCCCAGCAAACAGGACCAGGCGUCCGCGGAGAGACCCACGCCCACGACAAGGGAGGGUUUGUGCCAGGCACGUGGCGUGGGCAGCCGACGGAGAAAGUGCACCUCGAGGGCGGGUCUAGGGAGACAAACCGUACGAUCAACCCCACAGAGGCAGCGUGGGCAACUGCUCGGGUUUGGGGCAAGUUUGGCAUCUUUCAGAACGAUGACCGUGCCUCAUGGAGACACGCUGGAGAUCCGGAGACCCGUGAGCCUCGUCCCCCAGGCCCCAGCAGCCGGCUGGCGACAGCAGCCCAGCGUUUUUCGACACGGGAACGGACACUCGAGGUACGGUCCACCCGCACGCUGGGCGUCCCGACACCUGCUCCGGCACGGGUGAGCCCUGAGGACGCUACGCCGAGUGACACGCACCCGUCACAGGGGGACAAAGCCUGUCUGAGCCACAAAUAGAAGGUCCCCAGAGUGGCCAGCUUCGCGGACACGGACAGCAGAGUGAUGCCGGCCAGGGAAGGGCUGUUUGUGUUUCACAGGGACAGGGCUUCAGCCUGGGACCUUGGGCGUGUCCUGGAGGCGGUGGUGGCGGUGGCCAGUGUGGAUGUACUUAAUGCCACUGAGGCAUACACGGAGAGGCGGUCAGAACUGUAGGUUUUGUGAUACCUAUAAUUUCCCACAUUCGAGCAGACCGAUGAGUCCUUAAUGAGAGAGAGAGAGACUCUGAGUGCUCAGCCACCUCUGGAGAGCUUCGCCAGAGGAACAUGCGGGGUGACGGUGCCUCCCACACACGCUGGCCAGCGGAUACGUGUGGAAGCGUCACGGAAGUGCAAAAUCAGCACUUAGCAAAGCAGGUGAAAUGUUGCCUUGGCGGGACUCCGAGUGACGCUAAGGCUCCCAGGGUGAGUGAGGAAGGGGAGGGGAGGCGGUGAGGAGGGGAGGGGAGGCGGUGAGCCUCUUGUGUUACCACACGCUCUCCAGAGGUGCGGCCGCCAGAAACGCCAAACUGCCCCAAACCAGGCGGGAGAACCCCCUUCCUAGUUUGGGAAACAGGUGACAGAAGAACACGGUAAAUGACACCAGAAGGACCCAAGCGAGCAGAUCCAACCGCCGGGUCACUUUAAACCAUCGACCCUAUGGGCGGCGGGGGUGGGAGGGGCCCAGCAGACACGGGCAGGGGUGCUCCACCCUCGCGCGGACCCUGGCUCGAGGGACCCGCUGUCAGACCACGUGGGGGCAACCGGGGAGGCACAGAGCACGGGUGAGAGUCGAGGUGGCCGCGUGCACUGGGGGGGGCCGGAGGUGGACGCGCCAGUGUCCCAGGGGCUGAGUCGGGGGCCUGCGUUCCACUCAGACGCGUGGACGCUUCUAGACGAAGCCCGUCCGAGGUCUUCACAUCUGUUGAAUCCAGGUGGUGGUUCCUCGAGGGCUCGUCAGCCUGCCUCCUUUUCAUUAUAAGGACUUUAGGACUCGGGAGGAGAAUAGACACCCUUGAGUCCCUCGGCUGGGGGUGCAGACCGCCCUGACCAGACACCCCGAGAGCCGGAGCAGGUGGGAGAGAGUCGUCCUGCCCACCUUCCCUACCUUCUGAGAUUCAAUCUGAGACAAUAGGACCUACUCGAAAUGGUGAAUGACUUCCGCUUCUGGUGAGACGGUGUGAAUGAGGUGGCCCCGAUGCAACGCGUAGAGUCCUGCCGGGUUCCGUGGGGGACCUUCCCAGCAGGAGUCAGGAGCCAGUGACCCCCGGGGGCACCGUCAGGUGGCUACGGCCCCCUUCCCCCCACCUGGAAGGCAGUCGGCCCUCGGGAAUAGGCCCCCGGCCCCUCGGCCAGGUGAGCUCACCCCUGCCUCUCGGCAGCCCCGUGAGGGGCUGAGACCUUCGUCCCACACACGCACACCCUUCGCUGGGCCGGAGUCCGUGCCCCGGAAGAGGCCCUACCAGCGGUGGGGGUGGAGGGCUCAGCGGACCUAACUGGAACCGGCCGCCGUCCCUGACCCGGCCACCAGGGCCCAGAGCCGAUGGUGGUGCAGGUUGGAGCUGUGUCAUACCUGGACCCAUCAGCGGGGCCGCAGGGGAGCCCCGGAAGACACGGACCCCUCCGCGGAGGCCCGGCCCGGCCCCCGCCAUCCCCGGCACACCCGGCCCGAUGGGGGCUGUGGCCCUGCUGAGGCCCCACCUCCCAGGCCACCCCGAGCCGCGGCCCCACCCGCCGGGGGUGGAGCCCCGGGAGGCGCGUGGUGCUCGUGGGCAGUGGCCAGGCCCCAGGCGGGUGUUUCUGGGAGGCUGAGGUGCGCCCUGCGCCCAGUCCUGCGUGGACUCCAGGCCCAGCGU